ACUUAACAUUUCACGAUUGUGACUUUACGUCUCGUAACCACGACUUAACGUUUCACAAUUGUGACUUCACCUC